ACUGUCUUCAAAGAGUACACCAAAUAGUGUUCUGGCCCAGCACUUGGGCAGGUUAAAACAUCUAAAUGGCUGGGGAAAAGUUACUGUGAGAGAACAUGACCUCAUAAGGCUGAGAAAUCUAUGAUGAUGUAACAGAUUGCUAUGCCAUAGGACAAUUGCAAAGUGCUGAAUGUUUUAAAAUAAAAUUUUCACCCAUAAGGGACCUGCCAGGUUUUGAAAAUCAUUUUUUUCCUGCAGAAUUCCAUCGAACAAUAAAGGCCAUGUUUUAAAGAGCAGGAGUGUUCCUUUUAGAAGAGGUGACACUGCUUAGCUGUGGCUUCAGAAACGGCCUGUGCAAUGGGCUCUCUCCAGCCCCCUUGCAUGGAGGCAAGGGUGAGAGGUCAGCUGCAGGCAAGUGAGCUGUUACCACCGCAGACGUGUGGCUCACCACCCAGCACCUCUGGAUACCCCCACAGCACUCCUGCCCUGACACGGUUCAGAAAAGUAAGCAAGAGGAAUUAGAACACAUGUAAGAAUUCUGAAUCUCUUGUUUUCUACAUGCAUAUUUUCUGGACAAAGUGAAAGCGAUAUAAAUGUACACUUAAAGGGCACUAGAAGACUUCUAAGUAGAAAGUGCUGGAAGUGCCACUGAACAAUUUAAUGUCAACUUCACUAGCCCUCCUCUCCCUUGGGAAGAAACAUCACAAAGCUUGGAAUGAUUUCACAGCUGGCCACAGACAAAUAUAUUCUACUUACAAGCGGGAGACCAAAUAAUGAGACUCUGUAUCUAGCUGGUUCCCUGUACAUCUCAGAAUUGGAACUCAUCCCUGGAAUGCUGAGCUGGCCUCUGUGGGAUUACAGAUUCUCUGAAGUCCUCUCUUCACAAGACAACAGGUAGUCAGAGGAUUGAUCUUCAAUACGGAGGAGGAAUGAAAAACAAAGGCAGUAAAGGCCUGUAAAUUUCUGACUGAAAGUUUUACCCAGAAAAAUCUUCUUGAUGCAUGGUGAUGAUUAUGGCCUCGAUGGCAUCUCCUACUGAAGUCAGUAAGGGCUGCACAGCACUCCCCAUAAGAGUGUGAAU